rnacentral:rRNA from 1 species
UACGAAGGGUGCAAACGUUGCUCGGAAUCAUUGGGCGUAAAGCGCACGUAGGCGGCCUCAAAAGUCGGAUGUGAAAUCCCGUGGCUCAACCAUGGACGUGCAUUCGAAACUGCGAGGCUUGAGUAUGGAAGAGGGUCGCGGAAUUCCCGGUGUAGAGGUGAAAUUCGUAGAUAUUCGCAAGAACACCAGUGGCGAAGGCGGCUCACUGGCCCGGUACUGACGCUGAGGUGCGAAAGCGUGGGGAGCAAACAGG